ACUUUUGGAGUAGGAGGCCGUGUUGCAAGCCGAGACUUUUCAGGCUGCAGCUCAGAUAUAUCGAAGUGUGUACCGGCUACGCACAGUGUGGUGAUGCCUGGCCACCUCCAGCCUCCCGCGGGGACCCCCUGCCCAGGCGGAGUCUGAAUGCCCACCGCCACCAGCCCACGCGCGCAGUGGGCGUACACGUGGUGACCUGCCUGCGGCUGGGUUCCCGGCUCCGGCUCCUCCUCCCGCCAGCUCUCGCUCGGCUUUCUGCAGUAUCACGUGCAGCAGCGCUGGUUGCAGGAUGGCGGCGGCCGCGGCGGCGGCAGCAGCGGUGGGUGUCAGGCUCCGGGACUGCUGCAGCCGAGGCGCUGUGCUUCUGCUCUUCUUUUCCCUGUCUCCUCGGCCCCCGGCCGCCGCCGCCUGGCUGCUGGGCCUGCGGCCAGAGGACACUGCUGGAGGCCGCGUGUCCCUGGAAGGGGGCACCCUGCGCGCCGCCGAAGGCACCAGCUUCCUCCUGCGUGUCUAUUUCCAGCCAGGACCGCCGGCGACCGCCGCACCGGUGCCCUCACCGACCUUCUCCUCGGGGGAGAAUGGCACCGGCGACUGGGCUCCGCGGCUCGUGUUCAUCGAGGAGCCCCCGGGCGGUAGCAGCGUGGCCCCUAGCGCGGUCCCCACGCGCCCCCCGGGACCGCAGCGCUGCCGGGAGCAGAGCGACUGGGCAUCGGACGUAGAAGUCCUGGGGCCCUUGCGUCCCGGGGGCGUGGCAGGCUCGGCCCUGGUCCAGGUGCGAGUGCGGGAGCUGCGCAAGGGCGAGGCGGAGCGGGGCGGCGCGGGCGGUGGCGGGAAGCUCUUUUCGCUCUGCGCCUGGGAUGGGCGCGCGUGGCACCACCACGGCGCCGCCGGCGGCUUCCUGCUGCGCGUCCGCCCGCGGUCGUACGGCCCAGGCGGGGACCUGCUGCCCCCUGCGUGGCUGCGGGCGCUCGGGGCGCUCCUGCUGCUAGCCUUGUCGGCCCUGUUCAGCGGCCUGCGCCUGAGCCUGCUGUCGCUGGACCCGGUGGAGUUACGGGUGCUGCGGAACAGCGGCUCGGCCGCCGAGCAGGAGCAGGCGCGCCGCGUGCAGGCCGUUCGCGGCAGGGGGACCCAUCUGCUCUGCACCCUGCUCCUGGGCCAAGCCGGAGCCAACGCGGCCCUGGCUGGCUGGCUGUACGCCUCGCUGCCGCCGGGCGUCGGGGGCACUGGGGAAGACUACAGCGAAGAGGGGAUCCACUUCCCUUGGCUGCCGGCGCUCGUGUGCACCGGCGCGGUAUUCCUGGGCGCCGAAAUCUGCCCCUACUCAGUGUGUUCGCGGCACGGGCUGGCCAUCGCCUCGCACAGCGUGUGCCUGACCCGGCUUCUGAUGGCAGCCGCCUUCCCCGUGUGCUACCCGCUGGGCCGCCUGCUGGACUGGGCGCUGCGCCAGGAGAUAAGCACCUUCUACACGCGGGAAAAGCUGCUGGAGACGUUGCGGGCCGCAGACCCCUACAGCGACCUGGUGAAGGAGGAGCUCAACAUCAUACAGGGUGCCCUGGAGCUACGCACCAAAGUGGUGGAGGAGGUGCUAACCCCCCUGGGAGACUGCUUCAUGCUGCGCUCAGACGCGGUACUCGACUUCGCCACUGUCUCCGAGAUCCUGCGCAGCGGCUACACUCGCAUCCCAGUGUAUGAGGGCGACCAGCGGCACAACAUUGUGGACAUUUUAUUUGUCAAGGACUUGGCCUUCGUAGACCCCGACGACUGCACCCCGCUCCUCACUGUCACCCGCUUCUACAACCGGCCCCUGCAUUGUGUUUUCAAUGACACCCGACUGGACACGGUACUGGAGGAGUUUAAGAAGGGAAAAUCUCAUCUGGCCAUUGUCCAGCGGGUGAAUAAUGAGGGAGAAGGAGACCCUUUCUAUGAGGUGAUGGGCAUUGUCACACUGGAGGAUAUCAUAGAGGAGAUCAUCAAGUCAGAGAUCCUGGAUGAAACGGAUCUCUACACUGAUAAUCGGAAAAAGCAGAGGGUCCCACACCGGGAGCGGAAGCGGCAUGACUUCUCCUUGUUUAAGCUUUCGGACACAGAGAUGCGGGUGAAGAUCUCACCACAGCUUCUGCUGGCCACACACCGCUUCAUGGCCACAGAAGUGGAGCCCUUUAAAUCUCUGUACCUUUCGGAGAAGAUCCUGCUCCGGCUCCUGAAACAUCCCAACGUGAUCCAGGAGCUGAAGUUUGAUGAGAAGAACAAGAAGGCCCCGGAACACUACCUCUACCAGCGCAACCGCCCUGUGGACUACUUUGUGCUGCUUUUACAGGGUAAAGUGGAGGUGGAGGUUGGUAAGGAAGGCCUUCGCUUUGAGAAUGGAGCCUUUACUUACUAUGGCGUCCCAGCCAUCAUGACCACUGCUUGCUCAGAUAAUGACGUGCGGAAGGUUGGAAGUCUGGCUGGAUCUUCUGUCUUUCUAAACCGGUCCCCUUCUCGCUGCAGUGGGUUGAAUCGCUCUGAGUCUCCAAACCGAGAGCGCAGUGACUUUGGGGGCAGCAACACCCAGUUGUACAGCAGCAACAACAACCUCUACAUGCCCGACUACUCAGUCCACAUCCUCAGCGAUGUGCAGUUUGUGAAGAUCACACGGCAGCAGUAUCAGAACGCACUCACUGCCUGCCACAUGGACAGCUCACCUCAGUCCCCUGACAUGGAGGCCUUCACAGACGGGGACUCCACCAAGGCCCCCACAACCCGGGGCACACCCCAGACCCCUAAGGAUGACCCCGCCAUCACGCUCCUGAACAACAGGAACAGCCUGCCGUCCGCUCAGAUGGGCUGAGAAGCCCCGGCGAGGUAGUGUACCUGAGGAUGGAGGAGCUGGCCUUCACCCAGGAAGAAAUGACUGACUUCGAGGAGCACAGCACACAGCAGCUCACGCUGUCUCCUGCAGCCGUUCCCACGAGAGCAGCAUCAGAUAGUGAAUGUUGUAACAUCAACCUGGAUACAGAGACCAGCCCCUGCAGUAGCGAUUUUGAGGAAAACGUGGGCAAGAAGCUGCUGAGAACCUUGAGUGGCCGAAAAAGGAAGAGGUCACCAGAAGGAAAGAGAAGCUCUGAGGACAACUCCAAUUUAACGCCUCUGAUCACAUGACAGGGGGAAGCCAGCAUUCAUUGGGUGUGUGAAAUUCCAGAGCUUUGGGGAAGAACCCACCCUCCCAUCAUCUGCUUCCCCCAAGGCCUCCCACAGGUGACAGAACGUUCUGCCUUCCCUUCCAUCUCUUCCUAGCUGUCAGUUUGGCAGAUUUUCCCUCAUUACCUCCAGUUUGACUCACAACCUUGACAUGGCCAUAACAGAAGGAGGUGCCGCUAAUGGAACAUGCUAGAAAUGGUCUUUUCCACAGCAUAGUCUAGGACUGGAGAAGAGAUGUCUGACUGCAAGCUGAUAAUGCCACUCUGGGACCCCGAUGUUCUUCUUUAUUCUUGGGGAUCCCCUGAUGCCACAGGAGACCUAUCAUCUUGGAACUCGCCAUUCUUUCCUCCAGAACAAAAUGUUAACUUUCUAAUAUAUUUCAUGCAUAGCUUGGCUCACAAGGUGCCAUUGGCAGACAGGCACAUGGGAGGCUGCAGUAGGAAGUCUGAAGAUUAGUUCAGGGGAUGGACCAAGAAUUCCCCCCAGAGCUUUAAAGAAGUGGGACUCAGCCAUGUUGGCAUGUGAUUGACAUUACAGCACAGAAAACUGUUAGUGACUGGUUUCCUGUUAGAUAAGGGUUCCAGAAGCCUGGGGAAAUAUGUCUCAGCUGGAAUGGGAAGAAUGUGAGAUGGAACCUCAAGUCACUGUUUUUACCAGGGACACAUCUGUUUUGGCUCCCAAUCAGCAGUCUUCAAUAGAUCAAUAAUUCUGCCCUGGAAGAGAAGGAACAGGAUGCAGAGAGACCCCGUUGGGAGCCAGAGAUGGAACUUCAGGUCUUAAGUGCAAAUCAAAGCAAAAAACAAACAAAACUUACAUGGAAAAACUGUAAGUGCUGAAAGCAAGUUUAGCCAUGACAAGCCAAAGAGUGCCCAGGUGACCUAGCCAAGAAAGAUACAUACUCUCAUGGGACGUCAGUGAGAGUUACACAGGAAUGUUGAAGAAUCAUUCUUCUCUUUCAUGCAUUUGUCCCUCUCCCACCCGUUACUACACCCUAGCAGACCAGCUGAGUGUACUUUAUUCCAAGAACUUAACUAGAUCUCUGGUUUUUUCCUGAAGUUGGGGCAGGUGCAAUUCCAAGCAUAACCACCAGAUGGCAGAGUGACCGCACAUACCUGCUUCCAAGACUAAAACAGUUCUCAAAUGCAACCACAAAGCUGGGCGUGGUGGCUCAGGCCUGUAAUCCCAACACUUUGGAAGGCCGAGGCAAGUAGAUCACUUGAAGUCAGGAGUUUGAGACCAGCCUGUUCAACAUGGUGAAACCCCAUCUCUACUGGGCAUGUAGUCCCAGCUACUUGGGAGGUUGAGGCAGGAGAAUCACUUGAACCUGGGAGGCAGAGGUUGCAGUGAGCUGAGAUGACACCACUGCACUUCAUCCUGGGCAACAGAGCGAGACUCUGUCUAAAAAAAAAAAAAAAGAAAGAAAGAAAGAGAAAAGCACCACAGCCAGCCUUAGGGAAAACUUGGAAGUAAGUGAGGUUUGUCUUCAGAAUCUGUAUCUCCCUUUCCAAUCUAUCUCCUACCCUUUAGAUGCUCUCAGUCAGGUACUCAUUGAACUCAUUGAUUGAGUGCUGUCUGCUAAAUCUCCAAACCAUUCCCAAACCUUUCCCCAUGGUAUACCAUCCAGCUUCCCUCCUCUUCCUCCAAAACCCUCACUCCCACCUCCCGACACCCAUCAAUCAUUCACAGGGAGGAGGGAUACCGAUCAUUCCUCUGGGUUAUCUGCAUCUCAGAAGAAAAUGCUUACCCACAGGAACCGUUAACUCAGGGGUUCUUAACUUGGGGUCCAUCACCCCAGGCGGUCCAUAGUUGGACUUCAGAGGGUCUAUGAAACCCCUAAAACUGUUAGUAUUUAAUGUAUUUAUUCGUGUAUGUUUUUUCCAGAGCGUUAAAGCUUUCAUAAGGUUCUCAAAGGUCUCAGACCUACAAAGAGUUAAAAACAAAAAACAAAACAAAACAAAACAAAUAAAACUACUAUUUUAAAUAGUGGAACUUUCAGCCCAGGGUUUCUAUAAUGCAGAGUGAAGUGGAAACUGGGCAGUUCGAGACAGGUUUUUCAUUAUAAGUGGUCUUCUCAAGUGUCCAUGAAUUGAUGGGGAAGGCUGGCACCCACCAAGAAGUGGAAGUCCUCAGAAAUUCUUGGCACACCCUAGAGUAUUGCACAACCAACACCCCCACAUAACUUUGUCCCCUCUUCCCAAUAACCCAGAGCAGGUGUUGCAGACAGGAGGGCCACAGCAUGUGGAAGUAAAGACUUUGGAGCUAGAGACGCCUUGUCCAGCAAUGAUUAUUGACGUCACCACACCCCUUGCCUGGCCUGGCCUGAGGCUCAGCAGUGCAUGACUUCUCGUAGAUAACUUCACAGCCAUCCAGUCCCAACACCUGCUCUUGCCUGGUAGGAAUAGGCGAAGUGUCAGCCCUCAGCGUUGGGUACCUAGACCCAAACCAAUAAAUGGUGAGUUUUGAGCAAGAACUACCAUCAUGCAGGCUUCCUGCCAGCUGACCACUGGCCCCGGGGGUGCCUACCUGGCUGGUCUUCAUCACCCCUGAGGCCACCAGACUCAAGCCACUGCUGUUGCAUUACACCCAUCCCUUUGCAAAAUCCCUAUGGAGCCUGUCACCACUCCCCUCCCAAUACACGCCCCCCCCCACAAAGAUUUUCUUCAGGUUAAAAAAAAUGGUUUAAAAAAAGAUUUUAAAAUAAAGCAUUUAUGAAGGCUCAAUAAAUUGUAAAUAAUUUUUAAAUAAAAUGAAAAUGCCUUUCCUGGAA